rnacentral:rRNA from 1 species
AGAGAGAGACAUGCGCGCAUAUCAAUAAGCGGAGGAAAAGAAACUAACAAGGAUUCCCCUAGUAACGGCGAGUGAAGCGGGAAGAGCUCAAAUUUGAAAUCUUAAAGGGUUUCCCUUUACGAAUUGUAGUUUAAAGAAGUGUUUUCUGUUGAAGUUUUGGUAAAAGUUCUUUGGAAUAGGACAUCAUAGAGGGUGAGAAUCCCGUAUUUGACCAUUUACUUUCAAGCUUUGUGAUACACUUUCAAAGAGUCGGAUUGUUUGGGAAUGCAGUCCAAAAUGGGUGGUAAAUUUCAUCUAAAGUUAAAUACUGGCGAGAGACCGAUAGCGAACAAGUACCGUGAGGGAAAGAUGAAAAGAACUUUGAAAAGAGAGUUAAACAGUACGUGAAAUUGUCAAAAGGGAAGCGUUUGACACCAGUGUUGUUUUCUCGAAAAUCAAUUAAAAAAGGCAGGAUUUUGUGUUGUAUUGACUUUAUCAGCUUUCUGCACUCUUUUCUUGUCUUUUUUAAUGCACCUUUUCGUUUAACAAGUCAACAUCAAUUUCUUUUGUUGUAAAAGGGUCAUUGGAAGGUGGCUUUCUUUUCGGAGAAAGUGUUUAUAGCCUUUGGCCUCUGCAAUCGGAGAGGAUUGAGGUCUGCAGCGUAGAUCCUUCGGGGUUAGAUACAUUUGUGCUAAGUUAUAGCCUUUCAUAGACAACUUGUUGACUAUGAUCAGUCAUGUAGCUUACUCGCUUAUGCUAUUUUACCUACGCUUAGGAUGUUGAUGUGAUACUGCGAGCA